rnacentral:lncRNA from 1 species
UUGUGUCACUUGAGCGAAACCAAAUUAGUCAAAUUUACUAUUCUUAUAGGUUCACUUGGAUAUUAUUUGUGUUGCCAUAUAAUUUACCACUAAUUUUGAAAUUUGAUCAAAGAUUGACAAAUGGUAUUAAAAUGCUGAUGAAUCUGUGGUAGGGGUUUCCCAAGUUGGGUUUAUGCUCCAUAAUUACCCCAUAUUGGUGGAUAAGUUCAGAGUUAUGAGGUGUGUUCUGGUUAAUAAAUUUAUAUGUAAAUAUACUAUUCUUUGUGGUGUUUGGGUUUGUAGCAAAGGUAGGAUGGUCACAUGUAUGCACAAUGUUCUGCCAAACAUAGAAAGCAUCGUGCAAUCAUUGCACAAUAUUCUGACUUUAGGUCUGUCUUGAUUUCUUGACGUGUUAUUUUGUUGAAUAUUAUGGACAAUAAAAUUCUUUGUUUUAGUGUGACAAUGAUUCUUCUGCC